CAGUCACACGUCCAGGAUCGGAUGCACACUGUGUACAGUCACUGCUAUCUGCCGCAGCGGAUCCUGGACGUGUGAACGCGCCCUAUAAAGUUCCCGGUGAUGAGGAUUUAUCUAUGAAGGAUCCGCCUCUAGGUGUGUACAGAGCCCUAUCUGCAGUCUCCGGGGGCCGCACACAGCCCGGAGGCCGCACCGCCCGGGGAUUUCCGCAGUGACCCUGAUGACGCUGUGCACACUUCCGCCUGGAUACGAUGCCGCAUACAAUGUGACUUUGGCGGAGGGGAGGGGGCGGAUGUUUGGCGGAGAGAUGACUGACCUGCGACACACACGGCUCCCCCCGGAGCGGCCCGCACAGCCGGAGCCGUAAUCCCGGGGGCUGUGCACACCGGACAGGUAUCGCAAUGGCGCAGAGUCGGGGUGAGUGCGGUUGCCGCAUCCGCCGUCAUCUGAGGUAAACAGCAGCGUUCAGCCCCCCGGAGCGGCACUCCUGCGGCCGGAUGGACCGACGCCUGUAGCCGCACAGCAUAUAAAAAAUUUCGGCACAGGAUGGGCAGGGUACAUGGACCUCAUGGCUGUUUCAUCCUGCAGAGAUUUGCUGCCAAAUUGUUGAAGGUCAAGUGAAGAGCAGCGGCCUCCAGGUCUGUGUAGGACACUGCAGUUUGCCAGGCAAGAAGAAAACACCGAUGAUGGGCAUUCCCUCCGCCAUAAAAAGUGGCACCAUGACAAGUGGUUACGUCUUGGGAGAUGCAUCCUGAGUGUUCUGCUACCACAGGAAACACUAUGGUGAACUUUACCUCCAUUCGGCACAGCGCUUCCACGUCACUGUCUGCCAUAAGGCCUUUACCACGUGACUAUAGAAUUGCGCCAGGAUCGGCACUGGUGAGACCUCAAACGUGGUCAACUCCUCAGUCUGAUCAGGAUGUAUACGUCACAGACCUACAUGACUAUCUUUAUCGUAUCUCCUGUUAUGGCCGACACAUCUCUGGAGGUCCCGUAACCAUGUGACCAUACAUUGUGAUACAGCGAUGAUAGAUUUGCAUACAGCUCGCCGGUUAUCACUUCCAGGACCGCGCCGAAGACGUGUAGCCAUGAGCCGGACACUUACGCUCUCCGCUGUGGACCGGAUUGAUGCCUCCAGAGCUGUCCAUACAAGACCAAAGCUGAACCAUUGGGCGUACGUCUUCACUAUAGGACAUUUCUGGCUUCUCACGUUCACUUAGCACUUGUGUCGCUAUGUUAACCCUUCACUCCUUUUUUUUUCGCCGGUCGCCUACACUUCAUAUUUCUGUAGCAAUUAUCAAAUAGCAAUGAUUUCGUAGGAAAAUCGUAAUGUUUUACACAUAGAAGCAAAGGAAAAGUCUAUAGUUUUACCUCAAAACUCCACGCCAGGUAACUGGUUUCCGUACGCCCGCCGAUGUCGCGCGUAUGUUUGCAAUAAUGUUUUUUUAUAUAUAUAUAUUUUAUUUUUUUUUGCUUAUUUCUCAGGUUUUCCACCAGUUCUGAGGUUUUGGGUUGUGUUUUUUUUUUUUUUUUUUUUUU